CCUAGAUCUGUAAGAAGAAGGACCACAGAAUAGGGCAUGAUUUGGAUCUUGGUCCCCAACAAUCAUAUGAUUUGUUCAUAGAUUUCAACACAGCAAAAGUUCAGCAUUUUUUCUAUUGGUUCCAGGCACUAGGUACCAGGACUCUGAAAAGAUUCUAUAUUCUGGUAGCUAAAUUUGGUAUUUGAAAUUAGCUGUCAUUUUCCCUAUGCCUUUGAGUUUGACAUUGGACAGAUGAUGCUGGGUAAAGGAUCGGGGAUGCUCUUUGAGUCAUAAUCAAGUGGGAGCCCAAUUGCAAGGUCAGUGCCCUACAACAGAGCCCCGAGGAUCCAAGAGAUGUCUUACUUAUUGGCCUUCUUGCCCUCUGUCUGAGGCUUGCCAUCUGUCUCUGCUUCACUCAGCUCUUCAGUAGGGCUCUGGGGUUCAGAGCGAGGAAACGCCGUCUUCAAGUUCACAGACCUCAGACCACGUUGGGAUCAGUGAACCCCAGGUCAAGAACCUCUGCCCGAGAAGCUCCUUGAGGACAGAGAUUGCUUCUUCUUUGUCUUUGUGUCCCUUGGCCUAACAAAGUUCUUGGCUCGUAACAGGUAGUUAAUUCAUAGUUGAUGAUUGACUAGUUGAUACAUAGCGAGACCCAGUUGAAGGUUGUAACCAGAAAGUCAAUA